CUUCCAAAAUUUUGAGUAGAAGUCCCAAGAUGAGAGUGUUAACCUUCCUAAACCGUUUAGAAUGCAUGUUUAGCUAGUCUACUAGGUGUUAUGGCUUUAGGGUUAGCAAUUUUAUUAGACUUAGCAACUUUGCCUUGAAAUUUUCCAUCAUGUCGCACCUAUCAUCUCUCACCUUCCAAAAUUUUGAGUAGAAGUCCUAAUAUAAGAGUGUUAACUUCCUAAACCGUUUAGAAUGCAUGUUUAGCUAGCAAUUUUAUUAGACUUAGCAACUUUGCCUUGAAGUUUUCCAUCAUCUCGCACCUAUCAGCACCUAUCUCGCACCUUCCAAAAUUUUGAGUAGAAGUCCCAAUAUAAGAGUGUUAACUUCCUAAACCGUUUAGAAUGCAUGUUUAUCUAGUCUACUAGGUGUUAAGGCUUUAGGGUUAGCAAUUCUAUUAGACUUAGCAACUUUGCCUUGAAGUUUUCCAUCAUCUCGCACCUAUCAGCACCUAUCUCGCACCUUCCAAAAUUUUGAGUAGAAGUCCCAAUAUAAGAGUGUAAACUUCCUAAACCGUUUAGAAUGUAUGUUUAGGGACUCUACUAGGUGUUAAGGCUUUAGGGUUAGCAAUUUUAUUAGACAUAGCAACUUUGCCUUGAAGUUUUCCAUCAUCUCGCACCUAUCAACACCUAUCUCGCACCUUCCAAAAUUUUGAGUAGAAGUCCCAAUAUAAAAGUGUAAACUUCCUAAACCGUUUAGAAUGCAUGUUUAGGGACUUUACUAGGUGUUAAGGCUUUAGGGUUAGCAAUUUUAUUAGACUUAGCAACUUUGCCUUGAAAUUUUUCAUCAUCUCGCACCUAUCAUCUCUCACCUUCCAAAAUUUUGAGUAGAAGUCUCAAUAUAAGAGUGUUAACUUCCUAAACCGUUUAGAAUGCAUGUUUAGCUAGCAAUUUUAUUAGACUUAGCAACUUUGCCUUGAAGUUUUCUAUCAUAUUGCACCUAUCAGCACCUAUCUCGCACCUUCCAAAAUUUUGAGUAGAAGUCCCAAUAUAAGAGUGUUAACUUCCUAAAC
rnacentral:lncRNA from 1 species